rnacentral:tRNA from 1 species
GGGGCGGUGGCGAAAUUGGCAGACGCAGGGGACUUAAAAUCCCUCGGGCUAACCCCCCGUGUGGGUUCAACUCCCACCCGCCCUACAA